GCCCAGGCUGAAGAUCCGGAGCUCUGGAGUAUGGGUGACAGCUGACCUCCGAUAGUCCAAGGGCUCCUCCCAGGACCGUCUGCAACGGCACAGCUUUUCUUUGGACAAACACCUCCCCUGGCUUGACAUGGGAGUCCCCGGAGCCCGGGCUUGGCAGGACAGCUGAGGUGUCCGGGGCCGGUAAUAACCCCCUCCCCCACCAAGUUUAUCUCACCUGAUGUUUCUGAAGACCCUCUGUGCCGGAUGCUCUUCUAAGCGCGUCGUACCUUUUAUCUGACGUUUAAGUUCAGCACAGAAAUAUGAGCUAUUAAGAAGGUACAAUGGACAAGACUUGGCUUGACUCUGGAUAUGGGGGUGAUGGCGGUCCCCAGGGUCAUGGAGCUCUUCGCCAAGACGGGAUUCCAGAAGAGAAACAGACUGGGGAGAGAGAUAAGGAGGCCCCAUGGAAGUCAUCAACGAGUUUUUCAAAAGGAGGUAGAGGAGGUUCCAAUAACUGCUCAGUGUGCUGGGCACUGCGAGUCGGUGGUCCUCACGGGGUCUGGGGGCAGACACCUUCAGCUCCUUGUGGAUGUGUCUGUUUCCCUCCUGCCCCGCAGCCCAACCAAGAACCUAGAAGGGUAGGAGGAAAAAUAUCUUUUUAACCUACAACCGGUUAGUGAUACAAGACUGGAGUAAUCAAUAAUUGGUGCCGAAGAUCGGAUUGUGCAUCUAGAAAAAAUAUUAACUGAUUCACUUCAUACCAAAUACAAAAGUACCUUCCAGGUGAAUUAAAUGUGAAAAGCAAAAUUUGAAGGAAAAAAAAAAUGGAAGGGAAAGUUGGGAGAAUACUAACAAAGUUUUCUCAACUAAGUCUCAGAAAGUACAAACCACAAAUAACAAGACAGACAAUUCAUUAAAAUUAGAAACUUCUUCUCACCAAACAUCAGCAACAACAGAAACAAAAGGACAGUACAAGCCACAGACCAGGAAAAGAUAGGUACAGUUGAUAAGCAACAAAUGAUCCACAUUUAGGAUUUACAAAGGACUCCUACAAGUAAUUAAAUAAAAGGGAACCCAAAAGGGAAAUGGGUGAUGGGUGUGAACUGAAAAUUCACUACAUUUUUUUCCUGUACUUUUCAGUAUGCAUGAAAUAUUUCAUGAUUUACAAAACCAAAGCUCUGGUGUCAGGUUUCCCAAUCUGGCUGUGUCACUUUGAGUAAGUCACCUCCCCUCUUUGUGCUUCCUUUCUCCUUUGUAAAACUGAGGGUUGCACUGAAGGACCUCCCAUGUCCCUUCCGGCCUAAAAUUCCGUAACGCAUCAAUCCAUAAAUGGAUAAAGUGGCAUGUCCCCACCAUGGACUAUUAUUUGGCAAUAAAAGGAAUGCAGUGCUGGUACUGCCCCAACAGGGAUGCACCUUUAAAAAGAGUAUGCAAAAUGAAAGAAGCCAGACACAAAGGACCACAUAUUGUAGGAUUCCAUUUAUAUGAAAUGUGCAACAUAAGUAAAUCCAUGGAGACAAAAGGCAGAUUCGUGGUUGUGGGGGGCUGGCGGGAAGGGAGGGCUGGAGGACAUUACGGUUAAUCAGUGCG